AUGGAGAGCUACGUGCGGAAGCGGUCGUGGAAGAAGGGGCCGACGCGGGGCAAGGGCGGGCCGCAGAACGCGGCGUGCGAGUACCGGGGCGUGCGCCAGCGGACGUGGGGCAAGUGGGUGGCGGAGAUCCGCGAGCCCAACAAGCGCGCGCGCAUCUGGCUCGGCUCCUUCGCCACCGCCGAGGAGGCCGCGCUCGCCUACGACGAGGCCGCGCGCAGGCUCUACGGGCCCGACGCAUUCCUCAACCUGCCGCACCUCCGCGCCGCCGCGGGCGCCACCGCGCAGCAGCGCAUGAUCAGGUGGCUCCCGGCCGCCGCGGCCGCGAACGGCGCCAGGGGCCCCGCCGCGGGCGCCGUGCCCGCCUACGGCCUCCUCAACCUCAACGCGCAGCACAACGUGCACGUCAUCCACCAGAGGCUGCAGGAGCUCAAGAGCUCCUCCUCGCCGGCCAAGCCGCAGCAGCACUCCAGGAGGACCCCUCCCCCGCCGCCGCCUCCUCCGGCCGCCUCGUCCCCUUCCUCCACGGUGACCACCGGCGCCAUGCCGCCCUCCGCGUCCUGCUUCCAGGCCCAGCUGGAGCACGCCAUGGCGAUGACCGCCGCGGCCGAGAGCGCGCCCCCCUGCGACGGCUUCGGGGCCGGCAGGCCCCAGCUCGACCUCAAGGAGUUCCUGCAGCAGAUCGGCGUGCUCGGGGAGGACGACGGCAGCGCGGCCGGCAAGCAUCAGGGCGUCGACGGGGACGACGGCGAGGUGGCAGACGCGUUCGGGUUCGGUGACGGCAACGGCAGUGGCACCGGCGCGGAGUUCGACUGGGACGCGCUGGCGGCCGACAUGACCGAUAUCGCGGCGGGAGGCCACGGCGGCGGCGGGCUGGGCGUGAACGGAGCGUUCCACAUGGACGAUCUCGACCAGUUCGGCUCCGUGCCCAUCCCCGUAUGGGACAUCUGA
rnacentral:rRNA from 1 species